rnacentral:rRNA from 1 species
ACGGAGGGUGCAAGCGUUACCCGGAUUUACUGGGUGUAAAGGGCGUGUAGGCGGCUUUUCAAGUCCGAUGCUAAAGACUGAGGCUCAACCUCAGGAGUGCGUUGGAUACUGUGAGGCUAGACGGUCGGAGAGGGUAGCGGAAUUCUCGGAGUAGCGGUGAAAUGCGCAGAUACCGAGAGGAACGCCAAUAGCGAAAGCAGCUACCUGGACGAUUAGUGACGCUGAGGCGCGAAAGCGUGGGGAGCAAACCG